AGUAAGGAAUAUUGGACAAUGGAGGGAACUCUGAUCCAGCCAUUCCGCGUGGAGGAAGAAGGCCCUAUGGGUUGUAAACUUCUUUUAGAUGGGAAUAAAAUGACUCUUGCGAGAGUUACUGAAGGUACCAUCAGAAUAAGCACCGGCUAACUCCGUGCCAGCAGCCGCGGUAAUACGGAGGGUGCGAGCGUUAUCCGGAAUUACUGGGUUUAAAGGGUGCGUAGGCGGAUGAUUAAGUCUGGGGUGAAAGAUUGUCGCUUAACGAUAAGAUUGCCUUGGAUACUGGUCAUCUUGAAUAAGGAUGAGGAUGGCGGAAUGUGACAUGUAGCGGUGAAAUGCAUAGAUAUGUCAUAGAACACCAAUUGCGAAGGCAGCUAUCUGGUCUUUUAUUGACGCUGAGGCACGAAAGCGUGGGGAGCGAA
rnacentral:rRNA from 1 species